UUAUACAUAAAAAAUAACAAAACACUAUGAUUUUAAUAAAAACAUACAAGCGAGUGGCUUUAAAAUUGACCCGCGACCUGAACCCAUUUCUUGAUAAGUUCUGGAUGGGUUCUAAUAACUAUUAUCUAGACCAAGAAACAAAUACCUGACGCAAAGAUAGGAAAGCUGUCGAGUGGUUUCGCUGCAGAGUGCGGUGAUUCAGACAUUUUGUCUUUCGUGCCGGUUUCUCAGGUUUUCAAUUCUGUAAGACCAUGAUAAGAGAUUGUCAUCUAGUUUGGAUUCAAAGGUGCCCAGGUGGUGGUAUUGACACCCACCAAGUAGAGCUACUACACGGUGUAAAAGUUCAAGAACCAGGCUGAGCAACAGGGCUUGAGAAGUCGUUUGUAAAUAGACCUUAGCCAUUACAGAGUACACCAGAUUCAGAGCAAGCUCCCAGCUAGCUACAUACCGCGUUAAACCAUUGAUAGCAGAACCUCGAGGAAAGUUGCAGAGAAGCAAAAAUGAUGGUUGGUCCGUCUUGAAGAGAAGUAAAUGUAAGUGCUAGACAACCGUGCUGCAGCACGUUAUAGUCUCAAAACUCCCAUGAAAAUGUUUUUGAGUGGAUUAUCCCUGAUACAA